UAAACCUGCAGCCACAGUAGCCCUCCAGGACCAGAGCUGGACACCCCUGAAAGACACACAUGUAAAGUGACCAACAGGCCACCUCACCAGACAGCUGAUGGCUUCUUAAAAGCAACCCCUGUGAAAAGACCCCCAAUGACAGCCACUGUAACCCCACAGCUCUUCUCUUCAUGUAGGACUCUGGGAAGUCAAACUUUGUGAAAGGUUCUGCUUGGACACAAAGUCACAGAGAGAUAGAAACAUGUAGACCACAGGUACGUGAUGACUAAAGCCUUUAAAGACACUCGGCACAUUCUGUUCUGCUCAUUCUUGGUGGGCUCUCCUGCUGAACACUUCUUGUCUGACAUCUCUAAGAGGACCUGAAGACUGUCUGUGGUGAAGAGGAACAGCCAAGACAUAAAGUGAGAGCUGGUACUGAAGCUCCAGUUGUCCUCCUGCUGUCAUCUGAGUCUCUGAGUGGUGAGGAGUUUUUACAG